rnacentral:misc_RNA from 1 species
AAAUGCGAUAAGUAAUGUGAAUUGCAGAAUUCAGUGAAUCAUCGAAUCUUUGAACGCACAUUGCGCCCGCCAGUAUUCUGGCGGGCAUGCCUGUUCGAGCGUCAUUUCAACCAUCAAGCCCCCGGCUUGUGUUGGGGACCUGCGGCUGCCCGCAGGCCCUGAAAAACAGUGGCGGGCUCGCUGUCACACCGAGCGUAGUAGCAUACAUUCUCGCUCAGGGCGUGCUGCGGGUCCCGGCCGUUAAACGACCUUCAUAACCCAAGGUUGACCUCGGAUCAGGUAGGAAGACCCGCUGAACUUAAGC